rnacentral:lncRNA from 1 species
AAUAAGAUCAAUAAUUUAAUCAAAAAAUAUUGAGGUUCUAAAUUACUUUAGGAUUUGGUUAGGAUUUGGUUAAUAUUUGGUUUAAGAUUUUUUUAGGAUUUGGUUUAAGAUUUAGAAUUGACUUUAGGAUUUAGGAUUUAGGAUUUAUUUAGUGUUUGGUUUAGUAUUUAGGAUUUAUCUAGAAUUUAGUUAUAAAUUUAGGAUUUUUCUAGAAUUUAAUUAUAAAUUUAGGAUUUAUUUAGAAUUUGAUUUAGGAUCUAGCAUAUGUUUAGAAUUUCAUUAAAGUCCA